rnacentral:rRNA from 1 species
UGUGCUCCGAUGCUCUAGAUUACGCGAAGACCUUACCAAGGCUUGACAUAUAGAGGAAAAGUGCAGAAAUGCACUCCCCGCAAGGUCUCUAUACAGGUGGUGCAUGGUUGUCGUCAGCUCGUGUCGUGAGAUGUUGGGUUAAGUCCCGCAACGAGCGCAACCCUCGUCCUAUGUUGCCAGCACGUUAUGGUGGGAACUCAUGGGAUACUGCCGGGGUCAACUCGGAGGAAGGUGGGGAUGACGUCAAAUCAUCAUGCCCCUUAUGUCUUGGGCUUCACGCAUGCUACAAUGGCCGGUACAGAGGGCUGCAAUACCGCAAGGUGGAGCGAAUCCCAAAAAGCCGGUCUCAGUUCGGAUUGAGGUCUGCAACUCGACCUCAUGAAGUCGGAGUCGCUAGUAAUCGUAGAUCAGCAACGCUACGGUGAAUACGUUCCCGGGUCUUGUA